rnacentral:rRNA from 1 species
CAUGACGAUAGCUUGCUAUUGUUGAUGGCGACCGGCGCACGGGUGAGUAACGCGUAUCCAACCCGCCCUUGUCCACCGGAUAACCCGUCGAAAGGCGGACUAACACGAUAUGCAGUUCUCAGCAGGCAUCUAACGAGAACGAAAUGUGAAGGAGAAGGAUGGGGAUGCGUCUGAUUAGCUUGUUGGCGGGGUAACGGCCCACCAAGGCUACGAUCAGUAGGGGUUCUGAGAGGAAGGCCCCCCACAAUGGGACUGAGACACGGCCCAUACUCC